rnacentral:rRNA from 1 species
UACGUAGGGUGCAAGCGUUAAUCGGAAUUACUGGGCGUAAAGCGUGCGCAGGCGGUUUUGUAAGUCAGAUGUGAAAUCCCCGGGCUUAACCUGGGAACUGCGUUUGAAACUACAAGGCUAGAGUGUAGCAGAGGGGGGUAGAAUUCCACGUGUAGCAGUGAAAUGCGUAGAGAUGUGGAGGAAUACCGAUGGCGAAGGCAGCCCCCUGGGCCAAUACUGACGCUCAUGCACGAAAGCGUGGGGAGCAAACAGG